rnacentral:rRNA from 1 species
UACGUAGGGCGCGAGCGUUGUCCGGAAUUAUUGGGCGUAAAGAGCUCGUAGGCGGCUUGUCGCGUCGGAUGUGAAAGCCCGGGGCUUAACCCCGGGUCUGCAUUCGAUACGGGCAGGCUAGAGUUCGGUAGGGGAGAUCGGAAUUCCUGGUGUAGCGGUGAAAUGCGCAGAUAUCAGGAGGAACACCAGUGGCGAAGGCGGAUCUCUGGGCCUUACCUGACGCUGAGGCGCGAAAGCUAGGGGAGCGAACAGG